rnacentral:rRNA from 1 species
GACGAACGCUGGCGGCGUGCUUAACACAUGCAAGUCGAACGAUGAAGCCGGAGCUUGCUCUGGUGAAUUAGUGGCGAACGGGUGAGUAACACGUGAGUAACCUGCCCUUGACUCUGGGAUAACUGCGGGAAACUGUAGCUAAUACCGGAUACGACCCUCGGAGGCAUCUCCUGGGGGUGGAAAGAAUUUCGGUCAAGGAUGGACUCGCGGCCUAUCAGCUAGUUGGUGAGGUAAAGGCUGACCAAGGCGACGACGGGUAGCCGGCCUGAGAGGGUGACCGGCCACACUGGGACUGAGACACGGCCCAGGCUCCUACGGGAGGCAGCAGUGGGGAAUAUUGCACAAUGGGCGGAAGCCUGAUGCAGCAACGCCGCGUGAGGGAUGACGGCCUUCGGGUUGUAAACCUCUUUUAGCAGGGAAGAAGCGAGAGUGACGGUACCUGCAGAAAAAGCACCGGCUAACUACGUGCCAGCAGCCGCAGUAA